GAUGAACGCUGGCGGCGUGCCUAACACAUGCAAGUCGAACGAAGCACCUUACCUGAUUCUUCGGAUGAAAGUUUGGUGACUGAGUGGCGGACGGGUGAGUAACGCGUGGGUAACCUGCCCUGUACAGGGGGAUAACAGCUGGAAACGGCUGCUAAUACCGCAUAAGCGCACGAGGAGACAUCUCCUUGUGUGAAAAACUCCGGUGGUACAGGAUGGGCCCGCGUCUGAUUAGCUGGUUGGCAGGGUAACGGCCUACCAAGGCAACGAUCAGUAGCCGGUCUGAGAGGAUGAACGGCCACAUUGGAACUGAGGCACGGUCCAAACUCCUACGGGAGGCAGCAGUGGGGAAUAUUGCACAAUGGGGGAAACCCUGAUGCAGCAACGCCGCGUGAGUGAAGAAGUAUUUCGGUAUGUAAAGCUCUAUCAGCAGGGAAGAUAAUGACGGUACCUGACUAAGAAGCUCCGGCUAAAUACGUG
rnacentral:rRNA from 1 species